UACCAGCACCCCGAGUGGUCGGGACGAUUAUUGGGCCUAAAGCAUCCGUAGCCGGUCCUACAAGUCUUCCGUUAAAUCCACCUGCUCAACAGAUGGACUGCGGAAGAUACUAUAGGGCUAGGAGGCGGGAGAGGCAAGCGGUACUCAGUGGGUAGGGGUAAAAUCCUCUGAUCCAUUGAAGACCACCAGUGGCGAAGGCGGCUUGCCAGAACGCGCUCGACGGUGAGGGAUGAAAGCUGGGGGAGCAAACCGG
rnacentral:rRNA from 1 species